AAGCUAAUAGUAGUAAAGUGAUUUAUGCUUUGAAAAGUGGUUUAUAUACAUUAUUUCAAUUGAUAUAUUUCAGAGCCAAGACUUGAACCAAGGCCAUCUUCCUCCAGGUACCUCUAAAUAUAUGAUUUCCAGUGGACAAGGAUGUGGUUUUCAGCAGUUGUCUAUAUUCAGACAAAGAGUCAAAUUUGGGCAAUUCAGAAAAAGUGACUGAGACCAGAGAAAUGAAAUAUAUUCCCUUAGGUCACUUGCAUCAGAAAUGACAGAGCUGGGAUUCACACUCAGAUCUUUUCAUUUUGAAUAAGCUAGUCUGGCACCAUCAUGCCUUGUUCCAUUUUAAUUGGAUAAUUUAGAUAGGAUUUAAGA
rnacentral:lncRNA from 1 species